rnacentral:rRNA from 1 species
UGGGGAAUAUUGGACAAUGGGCGAAAGCCUGAUCCAGCCAUGCCGCGUGUGUGAAGAAGGUCUUCGGAUUGUAAAGCACUUUAAGUUGGGAGGAAGGGCAGUCAGCGAAUACCUUGCUGUCUUGACGUUACCGACAGAAUAAGCACCGGCUAACUCUGUGCCAGCAGCCGCGGUAAUACGGAGGGUGCAAGCGUUAUCCGGAUUUACUGGGUUUAAAGGGUGCGUAGGUGGGUCUGUAAGUCAGUGGUGAAAUCCCCAAGCUUAACUUGGGAACUGCCGUGGAUACUAUCAAUCUUGAAUAUCGUGGAGGUAAGCGGAAUAUGUCAUGUAGCGGUGAAAAUGCUUAGAUAAUGACAUAGAACACCAAUUGCGUAGGCAGCUUACUACACGAUCAUUGACGCUGAGGCACGAAAGCGUGGGGAGCAAACAGGAUUAGAUACCC